rnacentral:rRNA from 1 species
CGUGUAGGCGGGAAUAUAAGUCAGAUGUGAAAUACCGAGGCUUAACUUCGGGGCUGCAUCUGAAACUAUGUUUCUUGAGUGUCGGAGAGGAAAGUGGAAUUCCCAGUGUAGCGGUGAAAUGCGUAGAGAUUGGGAGGAACACCAGUGGCGAAGGCGACUUUCUGGACGAUAACUGACGCUGAGGCGCGAAAGCGUGGGGAGCAAACAGGAUUAGAUACCCUGGUAGUCCACGCUGUAAACGAUGGAUACUAGGUGUAGGAGGUAUCGACCCCUUCUGUGCCGCAGUUAACACAAUAAGUAUCCCACCUGGGGAGUACGGCCGCAAGGUUGAA